rnacentral:lncRNA from 1 species
UGGACUCGAAAACCACAAAUUUAGCACAAGUAGAGCUAGAGAAGUGAGAAGAUCUAAAUGGCCGUCUCAGACUCUCAACACUGUCGAUUCUUCUAUUUGGGGUUUAGGGCAAAAUAAAAAUACGAAUUGAAAAUGCAGGUCUCUAUGUGAAGAAGUAAAGAGAAAAUUAGCUUGCACGAGUGAAGGAGCAAAAACAAAGUACAAAUGGGCUUGGAAAAAAACGAUGACCCUUUGGAAAAAUUUAUAAAGAUAAGAAGAGUUGUAUAAUAGAGAUUGAAAUAACCUUGAGCUUGAGAGUUC